GAUGAACGCUGGCGGCGUGCUUAACACAUGCAAGUCGAACGGGAAACCUUUUAUUGAAGCUUCGGCAGAAUUAGCUGGUUUCUAGUGGCGGACGGGUGAGUAACGCGUGGGUAACCUGCCUUAUACAGGGGGAUAACAGUCAGAAAUGGCUGCUAAUACCGCAUAAGAGCACAGCGCUGCAUGGUUCAGUGUGAAAAACUCCGGUGGUAUAAGAUGGACCCGCGUUGGAUUAGCUGGUUGGUGGGGUAACGGCCCACCAAGGCGACGAUCCAUAGCCGGCCUGGGAGGGGGAACGGCCACAUUGGGACUGGGACACGGCCCAGACUCCUACGGGAGGCAGCAGUGGGGAAAAUGGCACAAUGGGGGAAACCCGGAGGCAGCGACGCCGCGUGAAGGAGGAAGUAUCUCGGAAGGUAAACUUCUAUCAGCGGGGAGGAUAAUAACGUAACCGGACUAGGAGGCCCCGGCUAACUACGU
rnacentral:rRNA from 1 species